UGAUAACAUGCCCUAAGGUGGGGGAUAAUCUCGGGAAACUGAGGAUAAUACCCCAUAGGUCUGAUCUGCUGGAAUGCUUUCAGGCCGAAAACUCCGGUGCCUUAGGAUUGGUCUGCGGUCUAUCAGGCUGUAGUGGGUGUAACGGACCCACUAGCCCGUGACGGAUAUGGGCCUUGAGAGAGGGAGCCCAGAGAUGGACUCUGAGACAUGAGUCCAGGCCCUACGGGGCGCAGCAGUCGCGAAAACUUCGCAAUGGGGGCAACCCCGACGAGGGAAUUCCAAGUGCCAGCACUUUGUGUUGGCUGUUCUCCUGUCUAAAAAACAGGAGGAGUAAGGGGCGGGUAAGACGGGUGCCAGCCGCCGCGGUAAUACCCGCGCCCCUAGUGGUGGUCGAUAUUAUUGAGCCUAAAACGUCCGUAGCCGGUCUUCUAAAUCCUUGGGUAAAUCGGGCAGCUUAACUGUCCGAAGUCCGGGGAGACUGGAAGACUUGGGACCGGGAGAGGUCAGAGGUACUUCUGGGGUAGGGGUAAAAUCCUGUAAUCCUGGAAGGACCACCGGUGGCGAAGGCGUCUGACUAGAACGGGUUCGACGGUGAGGGACGAAAGCUGGGGGCACGAACCGGAUUAGAUACCCGGGUAGUCCCAGCCGUAAACGAUGCUCGCUAGGUGUCAGGCAUGGCGCGACCGUGUCUGGUGCCGCAGGGAAGCCGUGAAGCGAGCCACCUGGGAAGUACGGCCGCAAGGCUGAAACUUAAGGAU
rnacentral:rRNA from 1 species